rnacentral:tRNA from 1 species
GGUGAUUUUCGGCGGGUUCUCGCCAGAGGCGGUUGCGGGCCGUAUUGUCGACUCCAGUUCAAAACUGGUGAUCACCGCC